rnacentral:lncRNA from 1 species
AGUGGAGAAUGAUGUGGACACCUUGCAUGGAGAGAUAGAACAUUUAGUGAGUCACUUAUUAGUGGGAAUGAUGUGGACACCUUGCAUGAAGAGAGAAUUCGUCUAGUGGGGUUUAGCUUUAUAAGAGUAUAUGAUUUGCUCCCUACAGUAUACCCCUAAUUAGCUAGUUAAUAAAUGUAGUUAGCGUGUUGCUUAUUUGUUCUUCCUCUGUAUUUAUCUCCAUCGACAUAGGGCUAAUCUUCUCCUUUUUGCUAUUAUUACCAUAAUUCUUUUUCGUCCUAAGAAUUAUAUUCACCAAGUGGAGGUUAGAGACCUAGGAAUAAUUUUGUUCCUUUUUUCUAUGUAAUAUUUAGUGUUUUUUAGUUUUUAGUUUUUUGGUUUCACAAAAUAAACAUCUACUCCAUCCGUCCUGUAAUAUAGUUCAUUCUAACAUUUAAAAUUUAUCCUCAAAUAGUAUAUUCUAGAGGACAAAACUCAAUUUUAUAUUACUUUUCAUUUAUCAACCAAUCACCAUUUAAUCAAGUUGAUGAUAGCGCCUCAUUAGGAAAUAAAGCGAGGGUACAUGUGUCUUUUAUGUUGUUUCUUAUUUUGUCUUAUAGCUAGUUCAUAGAAUAUAUAUAUUAUACUAU